UGAUAGAAGAGAAAAAGAAGAAGAAAAAAAAACGUGCUGAGCGCUCCGCUCCUGAAGAUGAAAUAAAACCACAACUGCUGGUAAGUGAUCAAUGGCUAGACGACUCGUGUUCAACUCGUCUUCAACUUGCAAGAACAAGCUUUAUUAAAGUGUAUUUUUUGUGAUUCUCAGUAAGCAAUAUGCCUUCUUCACAACUCGGAGACAAAUUGCAGGCGCUAUGAACCGGAGCAAGGACUAAUCUCGCCUCAUAAUGAAGCGGUGACCUCCUAUUUGCUCGGAGCAAUAACUACAAGUCCAGAUUUACACGAUGUUGAUAAAGACGACAUUGUGUCCGCCUGUAAGACGUAUUAUGAGACGGUACG